UACGUAGGGGCCUAGCGUUGUCCGGAAUCAUUGGGCGUAAAGAGCUCGUAGGCGGUUCGGCAAGUCACGUGUGAAAUCUCCACGCUUAACGUGGAGGCGCCACGUGAAACUGCCGUGACUCGAGUCCGGUAGGGGAGUGUGGAAUUCGCGGUGUAGCGGUGAAAUGCGCAGAUAUCGGGAGGAACACCAGUAGCGAAGGCGGCACUCUGGGCCGGUACUGACGCUGAGGAGCGAAAGCGUGGGGAGCGAACAGG
rnacentral:rRNA from 1 species